GUGAACCCCCAGAAACAAGAAACACACAUGAACACGGUGAUGUCUGAUAUUUUUCUCUGGCCCUGGAAGGUGGUGGGAGUGAAGGACGAUCGGAUGGGGGAAGAGAUUUGUGCCUGCAUUCGGCUGAAGGAUGGGGAGGAGACCACGGUGGAGGAGAUCAAAGCUUUCUGCAAAGGGAAGGUGGGAGCCUCCGCCCAACCAAGCUGAUGCUGCUCGGUUCUUUGCUCACCCACUCCUUUGCCAACCAGCCCGGGGCGGGGAUUGCUCUGCCCUUGAUGAAGCUGACUCCCGGCCAGGCCAGCCCCUGGUCCCCUACCCAUACCCCUGUGAGCUUGCCCAGCCUCACGCCUUACCUCCCUCCCUCUGGUCUGCAGAUCUCUCACUUCAAGAUUCCGAGGUACAUCGUGUUUGUCACAAACUACCCCCUCACCAUCUCAGGAAAGAUCCAGAAAUUCAAACUUCGAGAGCAGAUGGAACGACAUCUAAAUCUGUGAAUAAAGUGGGAGGCCUGUCCUGGCCGGUUGGCUUGCCUCUCUCCUGUCAGAAUGCAACCUGGCUUUAUGCACCUAGAUGUCCCCAGCGCCCAGUUCUGAGCCAGGCACAUCAAAUGUCAAGGAAUUGACUGAACGAACUAAGAGCUCCUGGAUGGGUCCGGGAACUCGCCUGGGCACGAGGUGCCAAAAGGCAGGCAGCCCGCCCAGGCCCUCCUCCUGUC
rnacentral:sRNA from 1 species